UCCUUGCUUAGAUCCCGAGUCUUCCAGGACUGUGGCAAUGGACCAUGCAAUCUACCCAGGAGCAGUGGCUGUUCCCGAGGCAGAGCUUCGUGUCCUGACCAACACUGGUGCAACUUGUUCUACCACUGACCACCACCGUGACCCAGUUAUUAGCUGGACGGGCAGAUCAGAGAGAGAGGAGCAUCUCCUACAUCCCUCCCCUAAACUCAAUCACCAGAGUGCAAUCUCCAUUCUUCCAGUUUUCAGAAGGAGGAGCUUCCACUUUGGGUGAGUGUUCCCUCCAUCUUCCAGAAUGUAUGUCUCAAAACUUCCCUUCAGUCGUCUCAUCCAACUAAGAUUUAUUUCUUUUCAAGGGUUCUUAUGCUUUUUUUCUCCCUCUGAUUUAUCUUUCUGGGAAUAAAAACAAUGGUCUGUCUAAAAUAGUUAGUUUUAUAAAAAUAAGUUAAUUCAGUCUUGAUCAAUGAUAGGUAUAGUGGAUGGUGUCCCAUGUCACCCAGACACCUCUUCAGGAGUGAAGUAUUUUUCACCUACUACUGAGAACACUUAGCUAUCAGUCUUCAUGUCUUGCCUGAAGAGAGGCACUUUGCCUGAGGGCACAGCCCCUUCCUAGAACAGUCCACAUUCAGUGACUGAUUAUUCCUACUCAUUGAUGCCUCUGCCCCCUUGAUCCAACUGAGAACAAUAAGGGGUCAUCUCAGCUUCAGAGAUUCCUGUCGAGUCUGGCGAGGUCUUUGUGUAACCAUACGGUGGUUCAAAUUCCCUUUCUGCUGAAUCCUUCUUUUCUAUCCAUCCCUUCCACAUGUGUUCAACUUAAGAGCAACAUUUAAUAAACUUCCUGUACACUAUUAUUUGUCUCAGAGGCAGUUUCCUGGGGACCCAACCUGCAACAGUUAGUGCCAGGAAUGAUCCAAGAAAGUCAGUGCUAAGAAAGGAUCCUGAAGCUGGGUUGUCACCAGCCAGCUGGCCAGAAGGACCCUGUAGUGAGCUGGAUACUGCACACCCACCUCCCAAAUUCACGUUCAUUCAGAACGUCAGGAUGUGACCUUAUUUGGAAAUAAGGUCUUUGCAGGUGGAAUUAGUUCAGGAUUGAGGUGUGAUCGUGGUAGAUUAAGGUGGGCCCUAAAUCCAGUGACAGGUGGAUUAUAAAGACAAGAGAAGAGGACGUAGAGGAGAAGGCCAAGUAAAGAUGGGAUCAGAGAUUGGAGGGAUGCUACCACAAGCUAAGGAACAUCUGGAGCCAUCAAAAACUGGAGGAGGCAAGGAAGCAUUCUUUCCGAGAACCUUCAGAGGGAGUAUAGCCCUGCUGACACACUGAUUUUGGACUUCCAGCCUCCAUAAUUAUGAAAAAAUAAAUUUCUAUUGUUUUAAGCCAUGUAGUUUGUGGUCAUUUGUUACAGCAGCUCUAGGAAACUAGCACAGACCCCAUCAUUGAUGAUGCGUGGAGUACUGAUAACCCCUGGCACAAGGCUGAAUUAUUAAAAGGUUGAAAUUGUUAAAAUGUUUGCUGAUGGUGAAGUGGAAGGAAAUGAACUAGCAGGUGCACUGGGUCAGGUGUUUGAGAAGUAUGGGGAAAUACUAACCACACGUACAGUGGAAUUAGGUGGCUUUUGCUAAAUGCAAUUGGUAUUUUGGAAAAAUAACAGGAAGUUGAGUGUUUAAUCAGUAACUAAAAGGUAAGCCAGAGGCCUUCUUUAUAGCAUCUAAAGAGGCUCUUGUCUCCUUCACCAGAAGCCAGAGAAAACAGAGGACUAGGCUCUGGACUUAAUCAUAAAUAUAGAAGAGCUCUGAAGAAGAUUCACUUCGCAGCUAGGCAAGUAUGCAAUGCCAAGGUCAGGGUCCUAGUUGGGACAGAAUGGGGUCAUCUUCAAAUCCCUGGAUUCCUCGGAACCCACAAACCUGCAGAACUUAUCCAGUCUUCCCUAUUAAUGGGAUUCAUGGUGAUGCAGAACCCCAACACCCCCGCUCCAGAUCUAUACUCAGUCAGUAAGUAGAUUUCAAUCACAACAAAACCCAGCUGGGGAUGUGCUAGGCUGGCUAGGCUGAUCAGGGAGAAAAGGUACUCUACCCCAAAGGAAGUUUCUUGGGUGAGAAAGAUGCCAUGUGGAAUCCAUAUAAUUCUCAAUGGGAGAAUCACAAUGCAGAUUGCUAGGGUUCUGGACAAGGUCAUUUACAGCAAGAACUGUACCCCGUUUGAAAAACAGCUUCUGGCUUGCUACUGGGCCUUGAUGUAGAUGGAGCAUCUGAAUACGCUAUACCAAGCAACUAUGCAGCAACACUGCCCUUCAUAAAUUUGGGUUAAACCAGAACCCAAAAAUCUUUAGAUUGGGUAGAUGGAAUGGUACUCCAGGAUCAAGCAUGAACAGAGCUGAUGGACAAAGCAUCAAAACAGAUAGCCCAGACCUCAUCACUGUUGCACUAGUGUCUUACCCUCGGGUCACACCCUAGGCAGCAUCAGGGUCCCUUAUGACCAGACGUAGAAGUAGGAGAAAAAAGAUGUCAAUCCUUUGAAGAGUUUCAGCUGGCCUAAACUGCUUCACAGGAUGGCACGGAGGAGACACUGUCUACCAGAACAUUGAGUAUGAGCUAAUGAGAAGGGCGUCAGCAUCGCUAAGAAGUUCAGUGGUGGCUGCCUUUGUAGGCCAGAGGUGACAAAUGGAGAUGCCACUACAGGACUGGCACCACUGAGAGCAAAGAGCAUGAUCAGAUUCUGAAACAGUAGAGGCAGGAGAUAGCGCAUAAGCAUCAGAAAUCCAGUGGACACAAUCAUUGUCAUCAGCAGCGUGGUCAGAGUGGCAGCCAGAGGGUUGCAAUCUGGCUCAAAGAGAUCUGAACCAUGAGGACACCCUGUGGAAUGUGGCAUGGACCCACUAUAUAGAUGACAUCAGGCAAGAAAUUUAUUAGAGAAAGUGCCUAUCGGGGAAAAUGGCGGAGCAGCCGGGUGAGGCUGAGAGAGCCAUUAGGCUGCAUUGCAUGUCUAACUCCAGAGGAAAGAAGUAAGGUUGCAUGGAAGCUUCUUAGACUCAGUGCAACUCUAAGGAAAGUUUGGCAAGGCCACUGCAGGGUCC